rnacentral:lncRNA from 1 species
GGAUCACAUCUUUGUGUUGUUGGAAGUUGCAAGAACUUUUCUGAUAGAUUUCAGCAGAACUAAGAAUUACUUGAUUCUAUUGUUGACUUGAUCUCUGCUUUUUGAAACUUUGGACCAGUCUGCGGGUGAGAUGAGUCUUCUGCUUAUUAACACAAGUAUGAAAAAUAGCUCAUGUUCAAGAUCACAGCAUGCAUAGGAGUCCAAACCAUCUUGAGAUAUUGGACAAAGGAAUUAGAGGUCAGCUGGGCAGAAAAAUGUCAGUGUCUUAUGUCUACGCUGGAUAGAAGAAGAAUUAAGAGACUUAUUGAUUCGAGGAAGAUUUAGACCAGUCACUGAGGAGGAACUAGCAGGAAGAGAUUUUCAAGGCAGGUCCUUGGGCUGUGUGUGGCAAUUGGGCACGUACCUGUUGGAAAUGCUUCAGGCAGAGGUGAGUCCUGUCAUGGGACAGGUGGCUGCCUUGGACAACCUCUUGACAUUCUCUCCAACCCCGCUGUCUCUUAUUUCUACGACAGUGACGUGGGUUGGCAUGUUACCUGAGCAGAGGACUCUAAACUGAGCACACUGUGCUGCUUUCGAGAGGGGCCAAAAGUCUGGAAGAAAGAUAAGCCUUGAGUUUACUUAAUACAUUCAAAUUAACUGGAAAAAAUGUUCCUAUUUAGUAACUGUAUUUGCACAAUGUCUUAAAAUGUAAACUCCUGUGAAACAUGCAUGAAAGGGUAUGAAGAAGUUAGACUAGCUACAUAUACUCAAGAAAAACACGUGUAAGUCCUGACUCUAUGAUGAUGUGCUCUUGUUAAACCUGAGCUGACUUACCAGAGGGACGUAUGAGAUGGAGCACUGUAUCCACAUUUCUGUGUGACAUAAUCAUGAGCUUUCCUUCUCUCUGGCAGAGCAACCUGUCUGUAGAGCCCCGGUACAGCAGGGUGCUGGCCUGAAACCAAUGUUCUGUGGGACUGGAGCCAGAAACAGGAUCAGGGUUGCAGGAAGAACCCUGAAAAGAAAGGCUCUUCUUUCAGAAAGUGGAGCUCCAUGAGCUGUCGGCAUCCCAGGGGCAGAGCAGAGGCAGAUUUUGGCUGUGAAGUUGACCCAGCCAAUGCCACGCAGGACAAGGUGGCAUUGAGAAGGUCCACAGCAGCAGCAUGUGUGCUGGAGGGGAACCACAAGCCGUGAAGGAUAGGGCAAAAGUGCCCGCUUCAUAAAUACACAUAAACAAACAAAACAGCUCACCAGCAGACAAUUGUUUUCAGCAGCGUUCUUGAAUGAAUAAGUCAGAAUAAAGACACACGGGAAAACCCAGCAAUAAGAAACCUGAAGAGUCGUGGAUGGAGCAAAUUAAAAGUUCUGCCCAAAAUUCAGUGCUUCAGUGACCAUGGUUUCUCCUCUGCGAAGGCCCUCCUGUUGCCUUAGAAAAUUAUCAUCCCGUUUACUUAAUUAGGCUGACUCCAAGCUUUAGGCAUCGGCCUGCCAAGAUGAUGCACACAGCGUAUGACACCUGUCAGUUGACUUCAAUGACUGCUCACCACUUCUUCGUGUUCUGCACCUCCCACAAGUCAGCUCCACAGAUGUGUCAGGAACGCUUCCUGAUGACUGCAUUGUAACAAAUGUGCAGAGGUAUGAAGUUGCAGUCCAUCACUUCCACACUGUUGCUGUGGCCCUGUGAACUCCUCUGAAUGAAAAACUCUUCAGUAUCACUCAGAAAUAUGAGGUUUAGGUUCAUCAGCUCCUUGUUGGCUUGCGACUAAAGGCCACAAUCAGUGUGGAGAAUGUGGGGCCCUUCUGCUCCAGACAUAUUUUCCAUAGUAGUUCCAUAUUUUCCUCCAAUUUACAAAGCAUUUCCAAAGGUGGAGAGCAAGAAGUGCACUGCCUACCUCCUGCAUCACCCACAACAGACCUUCCCACAGCACCAAAGGGAGAGCAGGGAGGUUGUUGGCUUUAAAUGAAUUGCACUGCCAACCCAUAAGGUGCAUUUGGGUUCACCGUGUUUUCCCUGUAUUUAAGUUUUACUCAUCUGAAAUUAAGCUAAUUAUACGUUUUCUUUAAUUUUCUCCUGUAACUCCUCUUUAUUUGAACAGCACUCAUAAGAUGUUUGAUUAUGGUCCAAAGUUACAUCGACUUUCACCCCAACUCUGCUGUCCAUUCAGAAAAGAGGCAGAAGGAGAUGGGCUGGGUUAGUCUAGGGAGAGUUGGAUGGAGAAGAUAGUAAGAGGCUCCAUCAGUGCUCCCCAACUAAGUGACACUGAAGUGCCACAUGGAGGAAGUACUUUUUGGGGCGCUAUCAACAGCCUAAAACUGUACUGGUACAUCCUUUUCUCUGGGUUAACUCUGGUCUCUUCUGUGCCACAGUGUGAAAGGUCUGAAGUAUCUCAGCCACUGUGUUAUGCUGACAGCACCCUUACCAGAGGAAUGCUGUUCUGCUCUCCUGUGAAGGAAGAAGGGAAUAGGAGCUCUCAUAAGAGCAUUUCUUGUGCUUCAAGUUCUUUGUAAGAGAAAACAUAGCUAAUUUUAGUUUAAAUGGAUGUUAAUUUGACGUGUGGAUUUGAAUAACUGAGAUAAAUUCUUGGCUUUUUGGCAUUAUAAUAUAUUAAAUGACAAAUGCUUUUUGAAUACUGAAAGGUUCUUUCUCUCUCCUCUGUAAGGCGUAAGUCUCCUGGAUUUGCAGGAAGUUGUACAGAAUGGUCCAAUAGGUCAUCUUCAUCUCUGGCUUAUGUGGUAAUAAAGGAAUAAUAAAAACGAAGGUUGCAAAGCAUUCUUUCCAUGACUGAAUCAGCUGGCUUUUUUAUGGGCCAGUUAUUCACUGAGCAAUAAAUAUUCAUGGGCUUUUCAGCAAAGACAUGGUGCAUAAUUAGUCUUGAGCGC